UCAUUCAAAAGUGCCUUCUUUGCCCAAGCUGAUGUUGGAGUCUCCACCAACAUCCUCCUCUUUUUCUCUUGUAUCAUGACGCUCCUUCUGGAUCUCAAGCUCACUGACCUGACCACCAGUCACUUGGACCUCGUCCACAUCAUGAUGCUGCUCACCAUUGUGUUCUUGGUGUCUCAAGACCUUUUUAAGUCCCUUCAUUUUCAAGAUGAUUUCAAGUGUAAGAUGCAUUUCUAGGUGAGCGGGGUGAUGAGGGACUCUCCAUCUGCAUCACCUGCCUCCUGAGCAUGCUCCAGGCCAUCAUCAUCAGCCCCAGGACCUCCUGGUUGGUGAGGUUUAAAUAUAAAUUCACAAAUCACAUUUCACAUGUUCUUGUCUUCUUAUGGUCCUUCAGUUUGUCCUGCAGUAGUUACAUAAUCUUCUACACUGUGGUUUCUUCCAAUACGACUCACACCAGUUUUCUGACACUCAAUAAAUACUGCCUCAUUUCCCCAAGGAAGUCAUCAUCAGCCACCUUAUUUUUCUUACUCUCUCAUUAUCCAGAGAUGUGUCCUUUGUGGGAAUUAUGCUGCUCUCCAGUGCAUACAUAGUGACUCUCUUGUGCAGGCAUCAGUGGUGAUCCCAGCACCUUCACAGCACCAGACUCUCCCCAAGAGUUUCUCCAGAAAAAGGCCACAGAGACCAUCUUGCUGUUGGUGAGUUUCUUUGUGGUCAUGUACCAGAUGGAUUUGAGUCUCUCAUCCUACUCAAUCCUGAUAUCAACAUAUGACCCAGUCGUCCUGGGUGUCCAGAGGCAUGUGACCAGUGCCUAUGCCACUGUGAGCCCUUUGGUGCUAAUAAGGUCUGAAAAAAGGAUAACUGAUAUUCUGCAAAUGAUGAGACAGAAGUAU
rnacentral:lncRNA from 1 species